CAGAAGACCUUCAGAAUAUGGACUUAAGACUUAGAAACAUUCACAGACACAGGGAGCAGAGAAAGUGUCUAGGUCUCACCUAAGGCCAUAGCAUGUUGGGUGGCUGUGGCAGUAUCUUCCUAGAGACAUUGUCAAUCAGUGAAGAAUGGUGUCUUCUGCUUCCCCAUCUUGAAGAAAGUGAAGCCUGGCCAGAGCCUGUCUUAUCCCUGGGAAAUUUGCUACUCCAAUGAUGCAACAGCAAUGUUUAUUUUCUAGAGAUUCAGGGUGAAUCCCAGGAGAAAGACAAUAGGAGAUGCAUCCAAAGCAAGGCUAGUCACAGUAGAAGGACUCAGGGUCAGUCAGAGAGUGGUACCAAAUCCAAGGACUAAAAAAUAAGCUUGAGGAGAGUAUCUCCCCUGGAAUUCAUGACAAGUCUAUGGGCCAACUGAGCUUGCAGCCUUACAGUCACCUUCCUGAUGAUGCCAUGGGCUAAGGGUUUGCUUUAAUGUGGUUCAAGGCUAACAUUGUUCUCAGGUUCCCAAAAGAAGUAAAAUAUCAGUCCUUUGUAUAGGGUACCAUACUCUCAUACAGGCCUCUUUUCAAGACCUUCCAGAUAAGGAGAUUCAAGAAAACUUAGUAGCUUGCAAUAGAAGUCCUUAGAAACAGCAGGAGAGGGUACUAUUUGUUGAUACAGGCAGCAGAGUCCAUCAGGGUUGGAGGUAAAAAAAUAAAUGGGCUCCAUGUGCUUUUAGACAUGUAAUAGAGACUUGAAAGUAGUUAAAAGCAAGCUGAACCUGAAAAGCAAAACCAGGAAAUUAAGCAAUAAUUGAAACUUAAGUCAGAGAGUUUCAGUAUUAUAUUAGACACAAGAACUUUAGACCUGCAGGAAGUCAUGAAGAAACCAUCUGGAAUGAAGCCCAGAGCACAAGAGAAAAGUACAGAGUGACAGGACCAGAGCCCUCAGAAAGAAACAGGAGGGAGACUGGUAGCCAAUGGCUCCCAAAAUGAACUGAAGCUACAGCUCCCUGGCCCAACAGAAGACUCUUCCCAGGACAGAUGAGAAAGACUCUGUUCUAGAAUACCCAGCUAGAUGGAGACAUGGCUUGGCUGUGAGGCAGCUGACUUAAUGGAGGAGGCACAAGCAUGCACUAGGCAGCAGACAACAGAACACACUCUAAGGAGGACAACACAAAGGUAUUCUGAUACAGCCAGGCAGUGGGGCUAAUGUAAGAGCUAUCAUGCGGGAAGACCUGAAAGGGCGCUGUUGACAGAGAACGAAGAUGAGGCAUCCUGGGAGAGGGGGAAGAAAAGUACAGAAGGUGAUAUCUGCCUGGGAUGCAGAUAACAAGGCUGAGCACAUGGAGACAAGGCCUCACUCAUGCAGACCUAAGCAGCCACCGUGUGCAAAUGCUACACGUGCUCAACAACGCAGGUAUGUGGCUGUCACAUUCUUAUAGUUCAGCUAUCCUUCCACUCCAAAGAGGGGAAGGUGGCUGAAACACAAGGUGUACACUAUGGACUCAGGACACAGGACCAGAGUGAACAUGAUGGUAGUGCUAUUUCACACACACCACCUCACUACAAACCCAGCUACAGAAACACGAUGCCCAAGAGACUCUGGUCUAUGCUGAGUCCAUCAGAAAUGAAAACAAAUGGCUGGCAGAUCAUUGCCCCUUACUGCACUCGGCUGCCCUCCCAAAGAGACCUCAAAAGUCCCCUGUGGAAAAGACCCUCUUGAUGGGAUGUGGCCUAAAUCCAAACUGAGUGUGAUUUGAAGUUCCCAGAAAAGAGCCAUACCUACUACAUUCAAUAUUGUACAAGAAUGACCAAUUUAGAAUUUGUGAUUGUGGAAAGUUGAAAUAUUGAAGAUCUAGAGCAGUGGUUCUCAACCUGUGGGUUGUGACCCCUUAGGGGGUGUCAAGGUACCCUUUCACAUGGGUAGCAUAUUAGAUAUCCUGAAUAUCAGAUAUUUACAUUACUAUUCAUAACAGUAGCAAAACUGUAGCUAUAAAGUAGCAACAAAAAUAAUUUUAUGUUGUGGCUCACAGAAUGUGAGGAACUGUAGUAGGGAGGUUGAGAACCACUGGUCUAAAGCAAAAUUACUCUGGGUACUCUUUAGUCUCCUUUACAGCCCCUCAUUGUCCACUGCUGUCUGACAUAAUAUCUUUGUGACUAUUAAGUAAAAUCUUUUGAAAUG